ACCUACGGGGGGCAGCAGUGGGGAAUAUUGCACAAUGGGGGAAACCCUGAUGCAGCGACGCCGCGUGAGUGAAGAAGUAUUUCGGUAUGUAAAGCUCUAUCAGCAGGGAAGAAAAAAGACGGUACCUGACUAAGAAGCCCCGGCUAACUACGUGCCAGCAGCCGCGGUAAUACGUAGGGGGCGAGCGUUAUCCGGAUUCACUGGGUGUAAAGGGAGCGUAGACGGCCGUGCAAGCCAGGAGUGAAAGCCCGGGGCCCAACCCCGGGACUGCUCUUGGAACUGUGCGGCUAGAGUGCGGGAGGGGG
rnacentral:rRNA from 1 species